rnacentral:rRNA from 1 species
GAUGAACGCUGGCGGCGUGCCUAAUACAUGCAAGUCGAGCGAACAGACGAGGAGCUUGCUCCUCUGACGUUAGCGGCGGACGGGUGAGUAACACGUGGAUAACCUACCUAUAAGACUGGGAUAACUUCGGGAAACCGGAGCUAAUACCGGAUAAUAUAUUGAUCAGCAUGGUUCAAUAGUGAAAGACGGUAUUGCUGUCACUUAUAGAUGGAUCCGCGCCGCAUUAGCUAGUUGGUAAGGUAACGGCUUACCAAGGCAACGAUGCGUAGCCGACCUGAGAGGGUGAUCGGCCACACUGGAACUGAGACACGGUCCAGACUCCUACGGGAGGCAGCAGUAGGGAAUCUUCCGCAAUGGGCGAAAGCCUGACGGAGCAACGCCGCGUGAGUGAUGAAGGUCUUCGGAUCGUAAAACUCUGUUAUUAGGGAAGAACAAAUGUGUAAGUAACUAUGCACGUCUUGACGGUACCUAAUCAGAAAGCCACGGCUAACUACGUG